UACGUAGGUCCCGAGCGUUGUCCGGAUUUAUUGGGCGUAAAGCGAGCGCAGGUGGUUUAUUAAGUCUGGUGUAAAAGGCAGUGGCUCAACCAUUGUAUGCAUUGGAAACUGGUAGACUUGAGUGCAGGAGAGGAGAGUGGAAUUCCAUGUGUAGCGGUGAAAUGCGUAGAUAUAUGGAGGAACUCCGAUUGCGAAGGCAGCGCACCGGCGCCCUACUGACGCUCAGGCACGAAAGCGUGGGUAUCGAACAGG
rnacentral:rRNA from 1 species